rnacentral:misc_RNA from 1 species
GAUGAAGAACGUAGCAAAAUGCGAUAAGUAAUGUGAAUUGCAGAAUUCAGUGAAUCAUCGAAUCUUUGAACGCACAUUGCGCCCGCCAGUAUUCUGGCGGGCAUGCCUGUUCGAGCGUCAUUUCAACCCUCAAGCUCUGCUUGGUGUUGGGACUCGCGGUAACCCGCGUUCCCCAAAUCGAUUGGCGGUCACGUCGAGCUUCCAUAGCGUAGUAAUCAUACACCUCGUUACUGGUAAUCGUCGCGGCCACGCCGUAAAACCCCAACUUCUGAAUGUUGACCUCGGAUCAGGUAGGAAUACCCGCUGAACUUAAGCAUAUCAAUAAGCGGAGGA